AUACGUAGGGUGCGAGCGUUGUCCGGAAUUACUGGGCGUAAAGAGCUCGUAGGUGGUUUGUCGCGUCGUCUGUGAAAUUCCGGGGCUUAACUCCGGGCGUGCAGGCGAUACGGGCAUAACUUGAGUACUGUAGGGGAGACUGGAAUUCCUGGUGUAGCGGUGAAAUGCGCAGAUAUCAGGAGGAACACCGGUGGCGAAGGCGGGUCUCUGGGCAGUAACUGACGCGGAGGAGCGAAAGCAUGGGUAGCGAACAGGAUUAGAUACCCUGGUAGUCCAUGCCGUAAACGGUGGGCGCUAGGUGUAGGGGUCUUCCACGACUUCUGUGCCGUAGCUAACGCAUUAAGCGCCCCGCCUGGGGAGUACGGCCGCAAGGCUAAAACUCAAAGGAAUUGACGGGG
rnacentral:rRNA from 1 species